UUUUUUUUUUUUUUUUUUUUUUUGGAGAAUUGCUGGGAAACGACAUUAGAUGGUUUUAAAUAGUAAUUCCUAGGCGUUGCCCUGUUGAUAGCCAACAUAAACACGGCGGCCCCGUGGAUCAAAGAAAUUACCCCCAUCAAAGAAAAACUGGACCACGCCAGGAAUUGGAUCUUUCAAAUGCUAGGUCAAGACUGCCAGAACAUGGGGAAAGCAUGGGAUGGCUGAGAAGAAGGUGGCAGAUUUUUUUUAAUGUUGAGAAUUUAAAACAAUUUUUAAAGUAAUAUUAAUAGUAGUAGCAGUAGUAAAAUAAUGAUUUUUAUUAAGCUUUUUUUUUUUUUUUUUUUUUGUCUUUUUGCCAUUUUUCUUGGGACGCUCCCGUGGCAUAUGGAGGUUCCCAGGCUAGGGGUUGAAUCGGAGCUGUAGCCACCAGCCUACACCAGAGCCACAGCAACGCAGGAUCCGAGCCGCGUCUGCAACCUACACCACAGCUCACGGCAACGCUGGAUCGUUAACCCACUGAGCAAGGGCAGGGACCGAACCUGCAACCUCAUGGUUCCUAGCCAGAUUCGUUAACCACUACACCACGAUGGGAACUCCUUUUGAGCAUUUUGUAUGUCCCAGCGCCACUUGCUGAGACCUUUCCACAUCCUAUUUCAUUUUAACCUCACAAACUUCAUUGAGGUGGGGACUACGAUUAUCCCGGCUUGACGGUCAAGGCUACAGAAUCACAAAGAGGUCGUUCACUUCCCUAAGGCCACAGAGGCAGUGGACACCAGGCCUGUACUCUCAGCUGGGCUAUACUACUCCUUCCAGGGCUGUUUAGGACGCUAACACUUCCUAAACACUUGCUGUUUCCCAAGCCUUCCUCCAGUACUUUAUAGGUGGUGACUCGCUUAAUGCUCACAGCCUCAGCCAAUGAAAGACAGGCUACAACAACCCACUUUACAGAUGAGGAAAACUAGGGCACAGAGAGGCUGAGGAAGCUGCCCACUUAACCAUCCAACUAGUUAAGUGCCCCAGUGGAAAUCGGACCCAGGCAAUCUGGCUCAGAAGCCAAAAUCUUAACCACCUCCUAAUACUACCUCUCAUGUAGAAUUAAGAAACCAUGUCUCACCCAUGUGGUUUCUGAGGUGCAGGCUGCAUAACUAAACCCACCAUUUAAAACAUCCGGGGGAAUUAGUAUUUUCUUUAUUCAUAUUAAUUUCAAGCCCAGGAGGAACAGAAGAAAAGCACGACAAGGAAUAUGCCCAUAAGAUGACUGUGUUUUAUUAUCAGCUGCCAGUCAUGUCUGCAGAUGUGAGACAUGGUGAGUGGAAGAUUUGGGGGAGUUUUUGGUCCUGAAGUCAAAGAAGUGGUGGCCAUGCCAGGAAAAAAGCAAAGCAGGACCUCAGCUUCAGCACCAUCCAGGGCUCCAGAACUAAUUACCAAAUGGAACAGAAAACAAUGAAAUAACCAAGUGAUGAAUGGGUUAAGAAGAUAUGGCAAUAAAUACAAUGGAAUACUACUAAGCCAUAAAAAAGAAUGAAUUCAUGUCAUUUUCAGCAACAUGGAUGCAACUAGAAAUUCUCAUAGUAAGUGAAGUCACAAAGAGAAAGACAAAUACCAUAUGAUAUCACUUAUACAUGAAAUCUAAAAUAUGGCACAAAUGAACCUAUCCACAAAACAGAAACAGACUCAUGGAUCUAUACAACAGACUUGUGGUUGCCAAGCAGGAGGGGAGAAGGAGUGGGAUGGACUGGGAUGGACAGGGAGUUUGGGUUGGUAGAUGUUUAGAAUGGAUAAGCAAUAAGGUCCUCCUGUACAGCACAGGGACCUCUAUCAGUCUCUUGAGAUAGACCAUGAUGGAAGAUAAUAUGAGAAAAAGAAUGCUAAAAAAAUAAUACCUGAGUGGCCGUACUAUAAAAUUCUUCCCCCCUACAUCUAACCAAUAGAGAUGUGCCCUUGAGAGAGCCCUUGGAAGAAUGAUCAGGGAACCACUGCACACAUACAAAGUGUUUGUUUAAUAAAUAUUUAUAGUCCUCGCAACAUACAAGAACUAAUUUCAGCUCUUGCUCUUCCUAUCAGCCAGCUGUUGGAGAAAAUGAGGAAGUGAUGCCUCAUGGUAGUUGUGAUAACCGUUUCCUUAAACUUGAAAGAACUUGCCCCUCCUUCCCAAUCCCCAUCCUACAAUAGAGAAUGAAGACAAUACCAAAAGGCCAUUUCCUAGCAGUUCUGUACUUACAAAUGAUGGAUACCCCCUAGCUGAAUGCCAGUGGAGCAGUCAGUAUAGAGUCCCUUAGGCUGCUGUAACAAACACCCCACACACACACACACCACACACAUCUCGGCAUAACACAACAAAGGUUUAUUUGCAGCUCAUCCUAUGUGUGUAGAGGGGACUGCAGGAUGUGGUGAUAGAGGGAACUUCUCAUUGUCACCGUCCAAGGGCCCAGCUGCUGAGUUGCUGGAGGACCCCUCCAGGGAAAUACUUCUGUGAUACCAGACAAAGGGGAACAGAAUUGUGCACAAGCUCUUAAUAGCACCUCCUGGAAGUACCAUAGAAUGUCCAGCCACGUGUCAUUGGCCAGCAUAAGUCACAUAACAAGCCUGACUUUAAAAAAGACAACAAAAUGCAAGAUUCUUUCUUUCUUUUUUUUUUUUUUUUUUUUUUUUUUGUCUUUUUGCCCUUUCUUGGGCCGCUUCUGCAGCAUAUGGAGGUUCCCAGGCUAGGGGUCCAAUCAGAGCUGCAGCUUCCGAUCCGCCCCCACCCCCAGCCACGGCAACAUGGGAUCCAAGCCAGGUCGGCGACCUACACCACUGCUCACAGCAACACCAGAUCCUUAACCCACUGAGUAAAGCCAGGGAUCAAACCCGCAUCCUCACGGACACUAUGUCAAGCUCUUAACCCUCUGAGCCACAAUGGGAACUCCAACCCUGUGAUUCUUAACCAAACACAAUCGUGUCAACGGUACAAACUCAGUCCUGGCUGACCUAGGGAUUUAGCUGCAACCUCUCCACACAGGACUUUACCUCUGGCCUUGACCUGAAUUUCCAAAAUCCCUAGUGUUUCUCUGUGGCAGAACAACUAGCACCAGAUGUCUCUCAUUCCUGAUAAAAUUCCACUAACACAUUUUGUGAAAUAAAACAACAAGCAGGACUGGGGAUAUGGGAAGAAAAAUGGGAGCUCAUCCUGAGAGGAAGACGUUGACAGCAACGUCCAUUUCCAACGGCUUCUCCCAAAAGGAUGUGGUCUGUGGGGCCCGGAUUUCUCUGUGACACUGGAACCCUGUUGUCUCUGAUGAAGCCGGCAAGUCAUCACUACCCACAGCCAUCUCUAUAGUGGCACGCGAUCGUCCCACUGGAAGGUGUAAAGCACACUUUUGAAUCUCAGAACAAGGACUCUGAUGGAUAACAGAGCCAAGCAGGUUGGCAGCUGCGAGGGUUAGGGUGGCUGGCUGGACCCGUCGUCCGGGUGUCCAGGGCUUUCUGCGCUGCAGCUGUGAGAUGCAGAGCUUCUCGUGGUUCCUGUGGCCACAGAUCCGCUGUGUUCCACAACUGCCAAGAGACAGCACAACCAAGGGUGCCGACUACUCAGCCUGCUCCUCCCAUCAGCUGGGUGGGCUUCACCUGGGAGCUUCCUCAAAAUGCAGAUUCUCAGGCCCUGCCCCACACCUGUUAAACCAGAAUCUGCAUUUAGCAAAGUCUCCAGGUGAUGUGCAUACACACUCGUUUGAGAAAUUCUGCUCUCCAGAGUUUUAAACCACCCAUGAAAGAGGCCUUUGUUACUAUCUUCUAUUGAACAGAAUUAAAAAUCAAGGCCAGUGUUUCCCAGGCUGCCUUCUUUCUCAUCUUGUUGUCAAACGGUCAAAUUACACCAAACGCCCAGUUAAUAAUUCACCUGCCUCAGAGCCUUGAAAAAUAGCUGAAAUUUGCAUGAAUGUAACUGCACCUACUUCCGGACAACUCUAUUUCAGUAUGUCCCUUAGACACCAUCAUUUCUUUCUUUAAAAAACUCUGUUUUAAAUACUUGCUUCCGUAAGUAGUGCACUUAUUUCUCCCAGACUAUUGAUCAGACCCACACAUCCGACUUUUAUUUCCAACUUUCUCUUCUCCCUCCGUUAACAUGCGCCGAGUCCAAACAGGGAUAAGUGACAGUUUACAUAACAUCUGCAGGUGUUUCUGUUACCAGGGAUUCAGUGGAAUGCCGUCUUCUUCAUGGGCUUUGUUUGUUUGGCUUGAGACCAGCCGGGCGGGCUGGGCGAUGUCCGGCUUUACUGUACGCAUCUGGUCUAGCCUAACACCAUGCUGGAGGGUGUCAGGAGGAAGCCGCGAGAUGCCACCCAGCAAGAAAGCUCAAGGGACCGACUCUCUGCUUGUAAAAAGUGACCAACAUCGCACUCUAGCUUCAAAUGUUAAUGCGUAAUGUCGGAGCCGUUUACUUUGAAGAUAAGGUUUCACUGCUGAGGAAGAAGGUCGUCGGGAUCAUGUGUGAACUACGCUGCCACCUACGUGGGGACCUUAAAUGAAACAGGGAAGCAGACAUUAACCUCCAAAAGUCGGCGUUAAAGAGAUACUUUGCCUUUCAUGAGCAUUUCUUUUUUCAUGCCAAGCUCCACCUUCUGCCCUCCAAAGAUGAAGGAGGUACAGUUGACGCAGAAGCGUAUUUUCAUAGGAUUGGCAGAAACCCAGAAACCAUGUUCCCUGGAGGACUUCCAUGGCACGGUGUCCUCAAACGCCUUUAAAUAAUCUCUAGUAAAAGAGCCCGAGAGGAUAUUUCCAGGUGACAAUGGGACUGGAAGUGACAUGAUAUUUGUACGUGAGGGGCUACUCAUUUUGCUGAAAUAAAGAAUCUUGUGAAAAGAGGAAUUAGGACUUGUAUUUACAACAGCUUUUCAUAAACAUCCCCAAAUUCCAGGCACAGGAC
rnacentral:lncRNA from 1 species